GAUGAAGAACGCAGCGAAAUGCGAUACGUAAUGUGAAUUGCAGAAUUCAGUGAAUCAUCGAGUCUUUGAACGCACAUUGCGCCCCCUGGUAUUCCGGGGGGCAUGCCUGUCCGAGCGUCAUUGCUGCCCUCAAGCACGGCUUGUGUGUUGGGCCUCCGUCCUCCUCCCGGGGGACGGGCCCGAAAGGCAGCGGCGGCACCGCGUCCGGUCCUCGAGCGUAUGGGGCUUCGUCACCCGCUCUUGUAGGCCCGGCCGGCGCUUGCCGACACAUCAAUCUUUUUUCCAGGUUGACCUCGGAUCAGGUAGGGAUACCCGCUGAACUUAAGCAUAUCAAUAAGCAGGA
rnacentral:misc_RNA from 1 species